AGUGCAUGCGGCGGAUGCCUUGGCGAUCACAGGCGAAGAAAGACGCGGCAGCCUGCGAAAAGCUGCGGGGAGCUGGCAAACGAGCUUUGAUCCGCAGAUAUCUGAAUGGGGGAACCCACACCGCAAGGUGUAUCCGUAGCUGAAUACAUAGGUUACGGAGGCGAACGAGGAGAACUGAAACAUCUAAGUAUCCUCAGGAAAAGAAAUCAACCGAGAUUCCGGCAGUAGCGGCGAGCGAACCCGGAGGAGCCCAGCUUUUGAUAGUACGAACUUUAGCCGAAAGGUCCUGGAAAGGCCUGCUAUAGUGGGUGAUAGCCCCGUAGGCGAAAGAGUUGGUACGGUACUAAGGAAGCGAGAAGUAGAGCGGGACACGUGGAAUCCUGUUCGAAGACGGGGGGACCAUCCUCCAAGGCUAAAUACUCGUGAUCGACCGAUAGUGAACCAGUACCGUGAGGGAAAGGCGAAAAGAACCCCGGGAGGGGAGUGAAAUAGAACCUGAAACCGCAUGCAUACAAACAGUAGGAGCCUCGUCAGAGGUGACUGCGUACCUUUUGCAUAAUGGGUCAGCGACUUACAUUCUGUGGCGAGCUUAACCGAAUAGGGGAGGCGCAGCGAAAGCGAGUUCGAAAUGAGCGUUCAGUCGCAGGGUGUAGACCCGAAACCAGAUGAGCUAUCCAUGGCCAGGUUGAAGGUGUGGUAACACACACUGGAGGACCGAACCGACUAGUGUUGCAAAAUUAGCGGAUGAGCUGUGGAUAGGGGUGAAAGGCCAAACAAAUCUGGAGAUAGCUGGUUCUCCCCGAAAACUAUUGAGGUAGUGCCUCGUGUGUCGCUCCAGGGGGUAGAGCACUGUUUUGGCUAGGGGGACAUGGAGUCUUACCAAACCAAGGCAAACUCCGAAUACCUGGAAGCGUAAGCACGGGAGACAGAGCACCGGGUGCUAACGUCCGGACUCAAAAGGGAAACAACCCAGACCGCCGGCUAAGGUCCCAAAUAACAGCUAAGUGGAAAACGAAGUGGAAAGGCCGUGACAACCAGGAAGUUGGCUUAGAAGCAGCCAUCCUUCAAAGAAAGCGUAAUAGCUCACUGGUCGAGUCCUUCUGCGCGGAAGAUGUAACGGGGCUAAGCUGUUAACCGAAGCCGCGGAUGCGCUGGUUAUCCAGUGCGUGGUAGGGGAGCGUUCUGUAAGUCUGCGAAGGCGGUUCGAGAGGACUGCUGGAGAUAUCAGAAGUGCGAAUGCUGACAUGAGUAACGUUAAAGCAGGUGAAAAGCCUGCUCGCCGUAAGCCCAAGGAUUCCUGCUCUACGUUCAUCGGAGCAGGGUGAGUCGGCUCCUAAGGUCAGGCCGAAAGGCGUAGCCGAUGGGAAUCAGGUUAAUAUUCCUGAACCUGCGUCAGAUGCGAUGGGGGGACGGAGCAUGGAAGAUCAUCCGGGUGUUGGAAGUCCCGGUUGUUUAGCGUAGGAGGUCUGCAGGCAAAUCCGCAGACGCAUCUCCAAGGCAAAGACACGUGCCGCCACGGCGGCGAAGUGAUCGGAAGUGCUUCCAAGAAAAGCCUCUAAGCACCAGUCUGAUGCGGACCGUACCGCAAACCGACACUGGUGGGCGAGCUGAAUAUGCUCAGGCGCUUGAGAGAACUCGGGAGAAGGAACUCGGCAAAUUGACACCGUAACUUCGGAAGAAGGUGUGCCGUAGUACCGUGAGAGGAGAGACACCUUGAGCGGGAAACGGUCUCAGAGAAUAGGUGGCUGCGACUGUUUAUUAAAAACACAGCACUCUGCAAAGUCGAAAGACGACGUAUAGGGUGUGAUGCCUGCCCGGUGCUGGAAGAUUAAUUGAUGGGGUGAGAGCCCUUGAUCGAAGUCCCAGUAAACGGCGGCCGUAACUAUAACGGUCCUAAGGUAGCGAAAUUCCUUGUCGGGUAAGUUCCGACCUGCACGAAUGGCAUAACGAUGGCCACACUGUCUCCUCCCGAGACUCAGUGAAGUUGAAAUGUUUGUGAUGAUGCAAUCUACCCGCGGCUAGACGGAAAGACCCCAUGAACCUUUACUGCAGCUUUGCAUUGAACUGUGAACCGAUUUGUGUAGGAUAGGUGGGAGGCAGAGAAGAGGCCACGCCAGUGGCCUUGGAGCCGACCUUGAAAUACCACCCUGAUUUGUUUGCGGUUCUAACCACGGACAGUGAUCCUGUCUUGGGACCGUGCAUGGUAGGCAGUUUGACUGGGGCGGUCUCCUCCUAAAGGGUAACGGAGGAGUACGAAGGUACGCUAGGUACGGUCGGAAAUCGUGCUGAUAGUGCAAUGGCAAAAGCGUGCUUGACUGCGAGAGCAACAACUCGAGCAGAUGCGAAAGCAGGUCAUAGUGAUCCGGUGGCUCUGAAUGGAAGGGCCAUCGCUCAACGGAUAAAAGGUACUCCGGGGAUAACAGGCUGAUACCGCCCAAGAGUUCAUAUCGACGGCGGUGUUUGGCACCUCGAUGUCGGCUCAUCACAUCCUGGGGCUGAAGUAGGUCCCAAGGGUAUGGCUGUUCGCCAUUUAAAGUGGUACGCGAGCUGGGUUUAGAACGUCGUGAGACAGUUCGGUCCCUAUCUGCCGUGGGCGCUGGAGAAUUGAGGGGGGCUGCUCCUAGUACGAGAGGACCGGAGUGGACGCAUCACUGGUGUUCGGGUUGUCAUGCCAAUGGCAUUGCCCGGUAGCUAAAUGCGGAAGAGAUAAGUGCUGAAAGCAUCUAAGCACGAAACUUGCCCCGAGAUGAGUUCU
rnacentral:rRNA from 1 species